UUCUGGUCCCGAUCGAAACGACAUGCUUUUUUAAGGAGGAACGAUGAAAAAAAGACCUGCCUGUCGGCACACAGGUAUAGUGGAGAGCGGGUGUGAAU
rnacentral:misc_RNA from 1 species